ensembl:lncRNA
UUUAUUAAUCCCACGGCAAAAAUACACUUGCCUUUUCCUACUGCACUAGCUUUGCUGAUAACUAUCUUGUUGAGUCAAAAUGUACUUGCUAUGAUUGUGAUAUGUUGUUGUCUCAACUUGCUGUCUUAAGAUGAAUUAACUGAUGUAAGUCACUCUGGACAAGAGCGUCUGCUAAAUUAAUUAAAUGUCAAAUGUUUAACUGGUUAGCUGUCUUUCUCACACAUGAAAACGGAAACAAUUUCUCAGACUAGUAAUAAAGUGGUAUUCUAACACCUGUCUACCAUUUACAUAUUUACAUUGGAAUUAAAAGCUAGUAACCUCUCCUGAUGUCAUCAUGUCACCAAACAGUGGUCCAGUUAUGGCAGGCAGCAGUGGGUAUGGCUUCUGGAGUGGGCGUGUUCCUGAUGGGAUUGACAUCUGUCUGUCUUUGCUGGAGGACCAAGAAAACCAAUUCUCAGAGACCUACAGCCAGACAGGAUGAUCAAAGCCAAAGUUCAGAACCAGUCAAAUGUUUGGACACAUCUACUCAUCCCAGGUUUUUUCUUUAUUUUUUACUAUUUUCUACAAUGUAAAAUAAUAGUGAAGACAUCAAAACUAUGAAAUAACACAUUUGGAAUCAUGUAGUAACCAAAAAAGUGUUAAACAAAUCAAAAUAUAUUUUAUAUUUGAGAUUCUUCAAAGUAGCCACACUUUGCCUUGAUGACAGCUUUGCACACUCUUGGCAUUCUCUCGACCAGCUUCACGAGGAAUGCUUUUCCAACAGUCUUGAAGGAGUUCCGAAGAGAAGCAGGAGGGUGGACCAGAGUAAUGAAGACUUUUCGUUGACAGUUUGCCAAAUCACUGUGCAUACCUACAAACACGCACGCACACACACAUGCAGACACACACACAUUGUAUUUGAACAUUUAAUGCAUCUUUGAGACUUCUGUCAUUUUUCUUUUGAAAUUGAUAACUUAAUAUGCAUAGUGUACAAACAUACUUUGACUGUACAAAACUUUAAGAACACCCCUCCCCCCAGUUUGAAGUAAGUUACUAACUAGCAUUAGGGGCAUAGAUUCUACAAGGUGUUGAAAGCGUUCCACAGGGAUGCUGACUCCAAGGUGGACCAUUCUUGAUACACACAGGAAACUGUUGAGCGUGAAAAACCCAGCAGCGUUGGAGUUAUUGACACAAACCGGAGCUCCCUGGCACCUACUACUGGCACCCCAUUCAAAGGCACUUACAUAUUUUUUCCCAUACACCCUCUGAGUGGCACACAGGCUUUAAAAUCCUUCUUUAACCUGUCUCAUCCCCUUCAUCUACAAUGCUUGAAGUGGAUUUAAGUGACAUCAAUAAUGGAUCAUAGCUUUCACCUGAAUAGUCUAUGUCAUGGAAAGAGCAGGUGUUCAUAACAUUUUGAACACUCAGUGUACACACACACAUUUUAUUUAACACUGUUUUAUGUGAUCAGG